GAUGAACGCUGGCGGCGUGCCUAAUACAUGCAAGUCGAGCGAACAGACGAGGAGCUUGCUCCUCUGACGUUAGCGGCGGACGGGUGAGUGACACGUGGAUAACCUACCUAUAAGACUGGGAUAACUUCGGUAAACCGGAGCUAAUACCGGAUAAUAUAUUGAACCGCAUGGUUCAAUAGUGAAAGACGGUUUUGCUGUCACUUAUAGAUGGAUCCGCGCCGCAUUAGCUAGUUGGUAAGGUAACGGCUUACCAAGGCGACGAUGCGUAGCCUGCCUGAGAGGGGGAUCAGCCAAACUGGGAAAGGGACAAGGGCCAGACUCCUAAGGGGGGCAAGAGGGGGGAAAUCUGCACAAAGGGGGGAAGCCUGGACGAGGCAAGCCGGGUGGAGGAAGGAAGGCUUCGGGAUGGAAAAACCUUUUUAUUGGGAAAAAAAAAAUUGGUAAGAAACAAGGGGGGCUUGACGGUAACCUAAGAAGAAACCCCGGGCAAAUACGGG
rnacentral:rRNA from 1 species